rnacentral:rRNA from 1 species
ACGGAAGGCAGCAGUGGGGAAUAUUGGACAAUGGGGGAAACCCUGAUCCAGCGACGCCGCGUGAGUGAAGAAGUAUUUCGGUAUGUAAAGCUCUAUCAGCAAGGAAGAAAAUGACGGUACUUGACUAAGAAGCUCCGGCUAAAUACGUGCCAGCAGCCGCGGUAAUACGUAUGGAGCAAGCGUUAUCCGGAUUUACUGGGUGUAAAGGGAGCGCAGGCGGUAACGCAAGCCAGAGGUGAAAACCCGGGGCUCAACCCCGAGGAUUGCCUUUGGAACUGUGGAACUGGAGUGCUGGAGGGGCAGGCGGAAUUCCUGGUGUAGCGGUGAAAUGCGUAGAUAUCAGGAGGAACACCGGUGGCGAAGGCGGCCUGCUGGACAGUAACUGACGCUGAGGCUCGAAAGCGUGGGGAGCAAACAGGAUUAGAUACCCUGGUA